rnacentral:rRNA from 1 species
UACGGGGGGGGUAAGCGUUGUUCGGAAUUACUGGGCGUAAAGGGCUCGUAGGCGGCCAACUAAGUCAGACGUGAAAUCCCUCAGCUUAACUGGGGAACUGCGUCUGAUACUGGAUGGCUUGGAUUUGGGAGAGGGAUGCGGAAUUCCAGGUGUAGCGGUGAAAUGCGUAGAUAUCUGGAGGAACACCGGUGGCGAAGGCGGCAUCCUGGACCGACACUGACACUGAGGAGCGAAAGCCAGGGGAGCAAACGGG